UUCUCGGUCCCCGUUCACAAACUCCACAAGGGCAUACCCACAAAACACUGAUGCCAAGAGGAGAUGGGCACACCGAUCACCCACAGAGAGAGAGAAAGGAGAAGGCAAGAUGCAUUAAUCUUCAAUCUCAUCGCCAAUAAGAGGAAUUGGAUGCCUCUAACCACAACGACACCGUUGGAACAAAGGAAUUGUUCUCAAUUGGUAGAUUAUUUGGAUUUGUUCAUUCUUCAUCUUCAUCUCAUGGAUCAUAUCCAUGCUCAACAUAGCUGCUUAUAUAGCAGUUGUUCACUAGGAUCCUCUGCUAGAAUUUAAAUACUGUUUUGAUUCAUGGAGAAGAGACAGAAAAGAUGUAUUGUCCCUUCAUGCAACCCCUUUAUAAGUAAACUGCCCUUGUUAUGCCUUUUGUCCACCACUUGUUCCAAAUCGAAUUCCAUUCUUUCUAUUGUCCACCACUUGUUCAGAUGCAGUUGAAGCUUUGGUUUUUCAAGGGUAAACAGAGUUGCAAUGAUGAGUAGAAAGGCAAUGGAUACAAUGAAGAUGUAAUGAAUUAUAAUAGCCGUGAAUGAAAAGGAAAAAAAAAUGUACUCAAAUUUGAUCUCUCGGCUUAAGAGUGUUUUGCAAUUGAAGGAUUCUGUGAGCCUGUGGUCAUUUCUUCGCUCACUAUGUUUUUAUAUUAAUGCACUAGCAGAAUUAAGGCUUUGGGCCAUGCACCUAUUUCA